rnacentral:rRNA from 1 species
ACUGAAUAGAUACCCGGGUAGUCCAUGCUGUAAACGAUGUCAACUAGCCGUUGGGGCCCUUGAGGCUUUAGUGGCGCAGCUAACGCGAUAAGUUGACCGCCUGGGGAGUACGGCCGCAAGGUUAAAACUCAAAUGAAUUGACGGGGGCCCGCACAAGCGGUGGAGUAUGUGGUUUAAAUUCGAUGCAACGCGAAGAACCUUACCUGGCCUUGACAUAUCCGGAACCCUGCAGAGAUGCGGGGGUGCCUUCGGGAAUCGGAAUACAGGUGCUGCAUGGCUGUCGUCAGCUCGUGUCGUGAGAUGUUGGGUUAAGUCCCGCAACGAGCGCAACCCUUAUCCUUAGUUGCCAGCGCGUAAAGGCGGGAACUCUAGGGAGACUGCCGGUGACAAACCGGAGGAAGGCGGGGACGACGUCAAGUCAUCAUGGCCCUUACGGCCAGGGCUACACACGUACUACAAUGGUCGGUACAAAGGGUUGCUAAGCCGCGAGGCCACGCCAAUCUCAAAAAGCCGAUCGUAGUCCAGAUUGGAGUCUGCAACUCGACUCC